CCUACGGGGGCUGCAGUGGGGAAUAUUGGACAAUGGGCGAAAGCCUGAUCCAGCCAUGCCGCGUGUGUGAAGAAGGCCUUCGGGUUGUAAAGCACUUUCAGUGGGGAAGAAAGCCUUGGGGCUAAUACCCUCGAGGAAGGACAUCACCCACAGAAGAAGCACCGACUAACUCCGUGCCAGCAGCCGCGGUAAUACGGAGGGUGCGAGCGUUAAUCGGAAUUACUGGGCGUAAAGCGCGCGUAGGCGGUCUGAUAAGCCGGUUGUGAAAGCCCCGGGCUCAACCUGGGAACGGCAUCCGGAACUGUCAGGCUAGAGUGCAGGAGAGGAAGGUAGAAUUCCCGGUGUAGCGGUGAAAUGCGUAGAGAUCGGGAGGAAUACCAGUGGCGAAGGCGGCCUUCUGGACUGACACUGACGCUGAGGUGCGAAAGCGUGGGUAGCAAACAGGAUUAGAUACCCGAGUAGUC
rnacentral:rRNA from 1 species